ensembl:lncRNA
AUGGACUUAUUAUUGUUCUUCUCUCAACCCAAAACAGUGAAAAUGGCAGUUCAGAGCGAUGUUUCUUCAGAUUCUGGACCUUGCAAGAUUGACAAACCAUAUAAAUGUGAGAUGUUUUGGGACAGAUUUCCCCACAGACAGGAACCACUGAGCCAUAGAGUCUACAGUUCACUCCGAUGGAGUUGUGCUGAGGAUGUGUUGGAGCCACUUCACCUGAAACCAAAGAAACUCAACAUGAAUUAUCUGGGACAAGCAGACAAGGCACCAAAUGAGAAGAUCUCUGAAGUUGAUGACAAUCUCAUUCACGAGACCCCUCCACAUUCUUCUCAGGAAAACGAGUGGCCCCGGUCAUGGAAGAGAGAGGACACCAUUCUUCGAAAACACUUAUGCCGCACAAGGUUAGGGUUCAUACUGUGAACUAGUUAUUGUUUAUGUCUGCUUCAAUAUGCUGCUGCAGUCUAGCACCAGUGAGCGGCAUCCAAAGGUGCUGCAUUUAAAGGGUUAGUUCACCCCAAAAUAAAAAUUCUGUCAUAAAUUACUCA